rnacentral:rRNA from 1 species
UACGUAGGGUGCAAGCGUUACUCGGAAUUACUGGGCGUAAAGCGCGCGUAGGCGGCUUUGUAAGUUAGAGGUGAAAGCCCGGGGCUCAACCCCGGAACUGCCUUUAAAACUGCAUCGCUUGAAUCCGGGAGAGGUGAGUGGAAUUCCGAGUGUAGAGGUGAAAUUCGUAGAUAUUCGGAAGAACACCAGUGGCGAAGGCGACUUACUGGACGACUGUUGACACUGAGGUGCGAAAGCGUGGGGAGCAAACAGG